AUUGAACGCUGGCGGCAGGCCUAACACAUGCAAGUCGAGCGGAGCGGCGGACGGGUGAGGAAUGCCUAGGAAUCUGACUGGUCGUGGGGGAUAACGUCCGGAAACGGGCGCUAAUACCGCAUACUAUCAGAUGAGCCUCGGUCGGAUUAGCUAGUUGGGGGGGGAAAGGCCUACAAAGGCAACGAUCCGUAACUGGUCGGAGGGGAUGAUCAGUCACCCUGGAACUGAGACACGGUCCAGACUCCUACGGUAGGCAGCAGUGGGGAAUAUUGGACAAUGGGCGAAAGCCUGAUCCAGCCAUGCCGCGUGUGUGAAGAAGGUCUUCGGAUUGUAAAGCACUUUAAGUUGGGAGGCGUUACCAACAGAAUAAGCACCGGCUAACUUCGUGCCAGCAGCCGCGGUAAUUC
rnacentral:rRNA from 1 species